rnacentral:rRNA from 2 species
AAAUAACAAUACGGGGCUUAAUGUCUUGUAAUUGGAAUGAUGGGAAUUUAAACCUCUUCCAGAGUAUCAAUUGGAGGGCAAGUCUGGUGCCAGCAGCCGCGGUAAUUCCAGCUCCAAUAGCGUAUAUUAAAAUUGUUGCAGUUAAAAAGCUCGUAGUUGAAUUUCUGCUGCAUUGCAUUUUCUCUUAUACGAGUUUUUGCAUUGUGGCUUAUUUCGGUUAUAAAAUUUAUUUUAUUUCCGGAUAUUUACUUUGAGAAAAUUAGAGUGCUCAAAGCAGGCUUUUGCCUUGAAUAGUUUAGCAUGGAAUAAUAAAGUAGGACUUUGGUUCUAUUUUGUUGGUUUUAGGUACCAAAGUAAUGGUUAAUAGGAACAGUUGGGGGCAUUCGUAUUUA